UACAGAGGUGGCAAGCGUUGCUCGGUAUCACUGGGCUUAAAGGGCGCGUAGGCGGUGCGGUGCGGUUCGUGUGAAAUCCCUCGGCUCAACCGAGGAACAGCACGGGCAACGGCCGCGCUAGACGGCAUCAGGGGAAAGUGGAACUCCCGGUGGAGCGGUGAAAUGCGUAGAUAUCGGGAGGAACGCCGGUGGCGAAAGCGACUUUCUGGGGUGCCUGUGACGCUGAGGCGCGAAAGCUAGGGGAGCAAACGGG
rnacentral:misc_RNA from 1 species